rnacentral:misc_RNA from 1 species
GCAUUCACUUCGCCUCUUUUCUCCUGAACUUGCUUGGCCGUUUGUCUCAGCUCUCCGUGAAUAGCAGAAGACUUUUCAAGGCUGUUCGCAAGUGUACGGAAAUUUACACGAGAAACAUACAGGAAUCUCUUAGCAGAUUCCAGACGUUGAGCCGAGGAGGCCCUUGAGAAAACCACCGGCAGCUCUUUUUCUCGUUUGCGUCUCGUUCACCUCCUACGCGGUUUCUUUCUCCAGAACCAAAGGCGUAAUCAGCGAAGAAGAAGCGAUCAAAACACACACAGUCAUAGCGCUCGCCUACACCCCCCUUGUCACCCGCACCGAAUUUCUUUAUUCCUUUCCCCUUUUAGGCCCACCAAAAAAAGAUGAGCACAUUCGAGAAGGUCAAGGAGGAGAAGUUGGAGUUCGAGAAGAACUGCGACCAGCACAUCUACGAGAAGGCUCUCCUUACCUUCAAGGGCGUGGAUGGGAUGGAUGUGUACAAUUGCUCUGCACCCUUCAAGUACGAGGGCCGGACGCACAUCUUUGGUCGUGUGGAGAAGCGGUCCGAGUGGGCCAAUUCGUAUGUACGGUUGUUUGUGGAAACGAAUAAGGAUGAAUUCACUCUGGUGCCUGGCAACAUGGUGUGGCAGCUUGAGGAUCCGUUCGUCUCAAAUAUCGAUAAUGAGAUGCUCCUCGGUGGGACGCACAUCCGGAAAACGAACAACCGCGUCUUUACCUACUACUGCGACUUCUUUCGCGGCACUGCGGAGAACCUGAGCUACUUCACGACGGGACCUGACAACAUGAAGGAUAUUCGCCUUGUCGAGCUGGCCAACAACAAGAUUGGCGUCUUUUCGCGGCCAAAGACGGCAGCGCACGCCUUCAUUGGCUUCACGGUGAUCAACAACGUGAUGGAGUUAACACCUACACUUGUCGAGGAGGCCCCGCCUCUCAAUGUCAUUCACACCGGCGCCUGGGGUGGUGUGAAUCAGGCGUACCUACUGAGCUCCGAUAAAGUGGGGUGUAUCAGCCAUUACAGUUACAUUGACAAAGACGAAGACGGCAAUGAGAUCACCGUGUACACCAACUACUCCUUCGUCCUGAACCCGUACCUUCGUGAGGUGGAGGACGCAAGAAUUAUCGGGACCAAGGGCUGCUACCCAAAGUGUUCCCCGAAGGUUGACAAACUUCUCGACUGCGCUUUCAGUUCUGGCAUUGUCAUGCGCGAGGACGGCCUUUGUGACUUGUACAGCGGGUUAGGAGACGCUUACGAAGGCCGUAUCACUAUCAACUACCCGUUUGAGGGUCAUGGAACUCUCAUCGACAACCUGCACUUCUAGGCAACAGUGUGCGUAUGUGUGUUUAUCUGCUUUUUCAUGCGUAAUGUUUCUUUCCUCAGCAUAGCCUUCCCUCUACUUUUCUGUUACCCUUUCCCAUCAUCCUCCACUAUUGAGUAUUGGUGCGAACUCGAGAGAACGGUGGGCUCUUCUAGUCUCUCUUUUCUUUUUCGUUCUGUUUCUGCUCCCUGAUGAUGUGAGGAUACACCUCUCCGUGUGUGGUGUCAGGGCUCAGUACCCCGACUCUGCGUGGGGGGAAGCCAGGCGCCCUCUUAACCCCUGUCGAUGUCAAGCCACCUCUGGUUGUGCCAGCGACAAUCACCCACGCGGUUGAGGAUGCCAGAGCGAUGCAUGGCUGCUGAUGUCGGCGGUGGGGUGGUGGACGGCGUUGCGUUGGAGCGGCCUGAGACAGCGAACACGCGUGUGCCAUCCACAUCAUGGGCACAGUGCCAAUGCCACUCCAAUGCAUCUUCACCCCGCCCUGGCACUGCCUGCAGGUGUGGGGCGCCUGAGCCACCUCGAGGGGGGGAUGCAUCAGGUGGCUGCCGGCACCAUGGGAGCGGCUGUGAGGCGACCUGACCUGCGAGGCAGGGGGGCGGGUAGAGUGUGAGGCAGAGGCUGUGCUGCGGUGCCCACGUGGGCAUUGCGGUAGCACUUGUCUGCUGCUGCAUGGCACCACGCGAUGAGUUCAUGACAACGCCGGGGGUAGGGUGGAGUCCGCUUCUUGCUUUAUGGCAGAAUGAAGACUUGAAAGGAGCUGCUUGUGUGCAGGGCGAAGGGCUCAUUGCUUUUUGGUGCCUUACCCAACCUUCACCUUUUCUUUCUCGGCGAGUUUUGCUUCCGCGCGUCUUCGUGACUCUUCUCUCCCCCAGCUACCACAGCUGCAGCAUGAAACGCGAAUGAAAAUGGAGAAAUGAGAAGGAAAAAGGGCGAAAAAAGGCAGUCUCGUCAGUCGCACCGGAGGAGGCGCCCAUCCGCGAGGGAAAAAAGGGCUUUGCUUCAUUUGCUUUUCUUUUUGUCGUGGUUCGCUAUCUCUCACUUUUUCACAGCGAUUUUUUUCGACACAUGCACACACAUUAGCGUCACCGCGCGCCUCCUCCCGCACAAGAACCGACACUCGUAUGUCUAUGCGUGCACCUACAUUCAUGCAUGUGCGCGUGUGUGGGUAGAAGUAUCAGUGAUAUGCUACACACAGACAGGUGGACAAGGAAGAGACAUAGUGAGAGCGAGAAAACAAUGAAGAGCGACUGAGAGGAUAGCCAGUUGUUGCUACUCUUUUUUAUUUCAACCCGCUUGUCUUUGUUUUGCUUGCCAUUUGACAGCACGACACUUUCAUCAAUGACACCACACGAGCUAAGAUGUCAGCGAGGCGCCGACGCCUAGGCGUGUGCGCCUUGGUGCGUGGGUUCGUGUAUCGCAAUGAGAGGACUGCACAAGAGACGCAUGCACAACAUCAGCUUUUGCCCGUCACCAAACCGGUUCUUCUUUUCAUGUAUUUCAUUCAUGCUUGCUGUGGAUACUCUGGGGCCGUUGCUGCUUUCCCUCACGCUUCUUUUCUCUCGCUCUCUUUGCACCUGCGUGCUGUUGAUCGAUUACUCCACACGCCAGCCCAGCGAGUGUGUCUGAUGGACUACCGAGUUCUUUUUCUUUCUUAUACAACCUGCGGUAUAGACAUUAAGGCAUGCUUGUGUUUGAGCACACACACACACACAAACACACACACACACACACCGGAGGAGGGCUUGUACAUGUGUAUACGCCCGUACUUGUGUGUGCUGUAGCCAGAGAGAUAGAGCAAGAGAGACGGCAUGUGCGGUGGGAGAAAGGCGGAACAGAGAAGUAAAAGCGAAAAGGGAGAGAGAAAGCGGAGGGGAAGGCAAAACGGCUAUCAGCAUUACGAGAAGACGGAAUCGGAGAGAAAAAGAAGACUGCCAUCUGCUCGAUAUGGCAGAGGCAGGGAGAAGGCGGGCGGGGGGAUGUACAGCUUCAAGUGACUUUUCGACGAGAGAAAGCACAUACAGGUCCCUUCAGUUUCGAAGUACUCUGCGAAUGUGCUUCACGUCUCUAAAUACCUUUCUUUCGCUCGAUCCUAUUCUUCCGCUUGUUCUUCACUGCGCACGGUGUAAGGUGUGUGUGUGUGUGUGCGCUUGUUUGCGCUUGCGUGUGUGUCUGUCUGAGUCUUGUGUGUUUGCGUUGUGCCCAAAGGGGUGAGAGAGGAAGGAAAACGAAGCUUUUUCUCUAUUUUCAUUCACUUCUUUUUCCCUUUUGUUCUCUUUCACUUCUCCUUUCGCCAAUACUACCACCACCACCGCCGCCAACGCCUGACUCUUUUCCAUUCAGCGAUGCACUGCCUUGAUAAACACUCGUUGACUGUUUUCUCCAUUUUAUUCUUCCUUGUUUGCUCAACGUCCCUGAUGAUGUGAGGAUACACCUCUCCGUGUGUGGUGUCAGGGCUCAGUACCCCGACUCUGCGUGAGGGGAAGCCAUGCACCCUCUUAACCCCUGUCGAUGUCAAGCCACCUCUGGUUGUGCCAGCGACAAUCACCCACGCGGUUGAGGAUGCCAGAGCGAUGCAUGGCUGCUGAUGUCGGCGGUGGGGUGGUGGACGGCGUUGCGUUGGAGCGGCCUGAGACAGCGAACACGCGUGUGCCAUCCACAUCAUGGGCACAGUGCCAAUGCCACUCCAAUGCAUCUUCACCCCGCCCUGGCACUGCCUGCAGGUGUGGGGCGCCUGAGCCACCUCGAGGGGGAUGCAUCAGGUGGCUGCCGGCACCAUGGGAGCGGCUGUGAGGCGACCUGACCUGCGAGGCAGGGGGGCGGGUAGAGUGUGAGGCAGAGGCUGUGCUGCGGUGCCCACGUGGGCAUUGCGGUAGCACUUGUCUGCUGCUGCAUGGCACCACGCGAUGGGGACGCUGUGACGGGCCGGGGGUAGGGUGGAGGUCAGAUCAUGCGGUAUGGGAGAAUGAGCAAGCCGAACGAAAAGUGUGCUUCUCUUCUUGUUCUUCCGCACCUCCGAUUGAUGCAUUGCGAGCUUUUUUUGUGGGUACUUUUUCUUGUUGCCGACAUAGCAGGACGUGUUUGCUGCUUCUUUGGUGCGCCCGUACCUUUGCCAAAGCCACUUCACCCACACCUACCCACCCAGCUAUGCAGAAUUGUAGAGAGACAGAUCGAUACUUUUUC